AGACCCUGCAUGUCUAGUAUAAGCACUCUUUUACUGUGAAACUGCGAAUGGCUCAUUAAAUCAGUUAUCGUUUAUUUGAUAGUACCCUACUACAUGGAUACCUGUGGUAAUUCUAGAGCUAAUACAUGCGCAAAACCCCGACUUCGGAAGGGGUGUAUUUAUUAGAUAAAAAACCAAUGCCCUUCGGGGCUCCUUGGUGAUUCAUAAUAACUUCACGAAUCGCAUGGCCUUGCGCCGGCGAUGGUUCAUUCAAAUUUCUGCCCUAUCAACUUUCGAUGGUAGGAUAGUGGCCUACCAUGGUGGCAACGGGUAACGGGGAAUUAGGGUUCGAUUCCGGAGAGGGAGCCUGAGAAACGGCUACCACAUCCAAGGAAGGCAGCAGGCGCGCAAAUUACCCAAUCCCGAUACGGGGAGGUAGUGACAAUAAAUACUGAUACAGGGCUCUUUUGGGUCUUGUAAUUGGAAUGAGAACAAUCUAAAUCCCUUAACGAGGAACAAUUGGAGGGCAAGUCUGGUGCCAGCAGCCGCGGUAAUUCCAGCUCCAAUAGCGUAUAUUAAAGUUGUUGCAGUUAAAAAGCUCGUAGUUGAACCUUGGGCCCGUCCUGCCGGUCCGCCUCACCGCGAGUACUGGUCCGGAUGGGCCUUUCUUUCUGGGGAAUCCCAUGGCCUUCACUGGCUGUGGCGGGGAACCAGGACUUUUACUGUGAAAAAAUUAGAGUGUUCAAAGCAGGCCUUUGCUCGGAUACAUUAGCAUGGAAUAAUAGAAUAGGACGUGCGGUUCUAUUUUGUUGGUUUCUAGGACCGCCGUAAUGAUUAAUAGGGAUAGUCGGGGGCGUCAGUAUUCAGCUGUCAGAGGUGAAAUUCUUGGAUUUGCUGAAGACUAACUACUGCGAAAGCAUUCGCCAAGGAUGUUUUCAUUAAUCAGGGAACGAAAGUUAGGGGAUCGAAGACGAUCAGAUACCGUCGUAGUCUUAACCAUAAACUAUGCCGACUAGGGAUCGGGCGGGGUUUCUAUGAUGACCCGCUCGGCACCUUACGAGAAAUCAAAGUUUUUGGGUUCUGGGGGGGAGUAUGGUCGCAAGGCUGAAACUUAAAGAAAUUGACGGAAGGGCACCACAAGGCGUGGAACCCGGCGGCUUAAUUUGACUCCAACCCGGGGAAAAUUCCCCAGGGCCCAAACAAAAUAGGGAUUGGACAAAUUGAGAAACUCUUUCUUGGAACUUUUUGGAAGGGGGGGGCCUGGGCCGUCUCUAAUUUGUGGGGAAAGGAUAUUGUCCGGCUUUAAUUGCGUAAAACCAA
rnacentral:rRNA from 1 species